rnacentral:lncRNA from 1 species
CCGAGUAGCUAGGACUGCUGAUCUCUCAAUGAAUAAGAGUUCCUGUUUCUCCACAUCCUUGCCAGCAUUUGAUGUUGUCAGUGUUCUGGAUUUCAGCCACUCUAACAGAAGCCACUGGCAGAAACAAGGAGAGAAGAAAGGCGUAACGAAUCAGUGAUGGAACAGGAAGGAAUCAACUGAGGGAAGCAAAGGGCUGCUGAGUCACAAGCAUGACAGGCAACUAGAAUCAGCCCGGGCUCCCCAGAGCUGCUGCUCAUCCUGAACACUGCGGGCUUGCUCAGAAUUUCCUGGCUGUCCUUUCAGACUUCGUGUGCAUCGUGACAAUACACCACUCUCACCUAACGGAAUCUAAGGAUGUCGCUACCCUGAAAUAGCCAAAUAUUCCAGUUGAAUCUAUUUGUUAAAGCUUAGUCAACCAGAUUUGUUUCUAAGGAGACACUGACAAUAAAAAUAAAAAUGAAAAACAGAAAAACAUUAUUUUCCCUGCAUAAAAGAGCCCUUUUCUUUUUAGAUCUUCCUGAGUCUCAAAACUGUUCUCUUCCUUGAGUUUCAA